UACAGAGGUCCCAAGCGUUGUUCGGAUUCACUGGGCGUAAAGGGUGCGUAGGUGGUGAGGUAAGACGGAUGUGAAAGCUCGGAGCUCAACUCCGAAAUGGCAUUGGAAACUACCUUGCUCGAGGGUUGGAGGGGGGACUGGAAUGCUUGGUGUAGCAGUGAAAUGCGUAGAUAUCAAGCGGAACACCAGUGGCGAAGGCGAGUCCCUGGACAACUCCUGACACUGAGGCACGAAAGCUAGGGGAGCAAACAGG
rnacentral:rRNA from 1 species